UACGUAGGGUGCGAGCGUUAUUCGGAAUUACUGGGCGUAAAGCGUGCGCAGGCGGCUUUGUAAGACAGGUGUGAAAUCCCCGGGCUCAACCCGGGAACUGCCUUUGUUACUGCAUGACUAGAGUACGGCAGAGGGGGAUGGAAUUCCGCGUGUAGCAGUGAAAUGCGUAGAUAUGGGGAGGAACACCGAUGGCGAAGGCAAUCCCCUGGGCCUGUACUGACGCUCAGGCACGAAAGCGUGGGGAGCAAACAGG
rnacentral:rRNA from 1 species